ensembl:misc_RNA Metazoa_SRP Metazoan signal recognition particle RNA
UCUGGGUAAAGUGGCACAUGCCUUGUAGUCCUGGCCACUCAAGAGGCUGAGACAGUAGGAUCACUUGAGCCCAGGAGUUCUGGGCUGUAAUGUACUAUGCAUUACAUACAUACAGGGUGUCUGCAUUAGGUUCAGGAUCAAUAUGGUGACCUUCUGGGAGCAGGGGGCCACCAGGUUGCCUAAGAAGCGGUGAAUUGGCCCAGUUUGGAAACAGAGCAGGUCAAAACUCCUGUGCUGAUGAGUAGGGGGAUCAUGCCUGUGAAUAGCUACUGUGCUUCCACCUGGGCAACAUAGUGAAACCUCCAUCUCU